UGACAAGGAUAUCAAGAGAAUGAGAAUCAGCAGACAACCUCUAUCAUAAUCAUAGAUGAAAAAUCCUAACCAAUAUAUUAGCAAACUGAAUCAAGCUAUAUGUGAAAAGAAUAAUUUAAGUGUCGUGACCAAGUGAAGUUUAAAUCCAAGAGAAGGAAACUGUGAUUACAUAGCAAAAAAUGAGAUGUUUCAAAAUAAUUUUAAAUCAAUAUUUCUCUGGCUCAACAACUGAGAAAUGGCAUCUAAUAUGCAUGCUGCUGAAGUGGGGCUGGCAGUCAAGGUAAGCUCACCAGAACCCAGUCAAGGUAAGCUAACCAGAAGAGGAGGAGAGUGAGAGGAAGGAAAAACUGUGUCACUCAAGACCUACAUGACACCAGGAAAUAUACUGAAGUCAGACUUGACAUCACAUCAUUCAAAUAGGAGACUCACAAAGAAUAGAAUUUCUAGUCUGUUGUGAAAAAUUCCCGAGUAAAGCUUACAACAUAUA